AACAUUCAAUUACGAGUACGAGAAUUGAAAGACAUGAAAUUUCUCAAUUCUCUAUGACCUCUAGUAGAUAGAUAGAAUAUUUUCAGGAAUAGGAAAAUCAGAAGAAUCUUUCUCUAUAUUCACUAUCAUUCCACGUCUUUGACUGCUAUUAGUUUUUUACUACAAUAG
rnacentral:rRNA from 1 species